UGGUGGCUUCGAAAUCGCGUGCGUGGCCUUGGCGUGAAGCCGCUUGGCGCACGGCCCCUGGUGCGCGCCGCCGCCUCUGCUUGGAGAAGAAAUAAAAAAAUAAAAAUGUGGUCCGUAUCUGUGUGCACAAGAUUACCCAGGCUUCCUAAGACGCUCAAAGGGAGACUCCUCCUGAGACCGCUGUUCCUGAGACAGUUGUCUAUGGCCUGGAGAUGUGGUAGAAUUCAUCACCCACAUCAUCUGAGCCGGGUGUUUUCUGAACGGUUUUAAUGAUUUCCUUUCUUUUCUGGUUAAAGGACACUCCCAGCUAUGUGUUUCCUCUUGUGUCAGUUUUGGCAAACUUUGUGUUCUAGAAAGUUGUCCAUUUUCCAUAAAUGUUCAAAUCUACUA